UACGUAGGGGGCGAGCGUUGUUCGGAUUUACUGGGCGUAAAGAGCGCGUAGGCGGUUCGGCAAGUCGGAGGUGAAAGCCCUUGGCUUAACCAAGGAUCCGCGUCCGAUACUACCGGACUUGAGUGCAGGAGAGGAGAGCGGAACUCCCAGUGUAGCGGUGAAAUGCGUAGAUAUUGGGAAGAACACCGGUGGCGAAGGCGGCUCUCUGGACUGUUACUGACGCUGAGGCGCGAAAGCUAGGGGAGCAAACGGG
rnacentral:rRNA from 1 species